UACGGGGGGGGCAAGCGUUGUUCGGAAUUACUGGGCGUAAAGGGCUCGUAGGCGGCCAACUAAGUCAGACGUGAAAUCCCUCGGCUUAACCGGGGAACUGCGUCUGAUACUGGAUGGCUAGAGGUUGGGAGAGGGAUGCGGAAUUCCAGGUGUAGCGGUGAAAUGCGUAGAUAUCGGGAGGAACACCAGUGGCGAAGGCGAGUCUCUGGGAUGAUACUGACGCUGAUGCUCGAAAGCUAGGGGAGCAAACGGG
rnacentral:rRNA from 1 species